CAUAGACAUGCAAGUCGAGCGAACAGAAGGGAGCUUGCUCCCGGAUGUUAGCGGCGGACGGGUGAGUAACACGUGGGUAACCUGCCUGUAAGACUGGGAUAACUCCGGGAAACCGGAGCUAAUACCGGAUAGUUCCUUGAACCGCAUGGUUCAAGGAUGAAAGACGGUUUCGGCUGUCACUUACAGAUGGACCCGCGGCGCAUUAGCUAGUUGGUGGGGUAAUGGCUCACCAAGGCGACGAUGCGUAGCCGACCUGAGAGGGUGAUCGGCCACACUGGGACUGAGACACGGCCCAGACUCCUACGGGAGGCAGCAGUAGGGAAUCUUCCGCAAUGGACGAAAGUCUGACGGAGCAACGCCGCGUGAGUGAUGAAGGUUUUCGGAUCGUAAAGCUCUGUUGUUAGGGAAGAACAAGUGCGAGAGUAACUGCUCGCACCUUGACGGUACCUAACCAGAAAGCCACGGCUAACUACGUGCCAGCAGCCGCGGUAAUACGUAGGUGGCAAGCGUUGUCCGGAAUUAUUGGGCGUAAAGGGCUCGCAGGCGGUUUCUUAAGUCUGAUGUGAAAGCCCCCGGCUCAACCGGGGAGGGUCAUUGGAAACUGGGAAACUUGAGUGCAGAAGAGGAGAGUGGAAUUCCACGUGUAGCGGUGAAAUGCGUAGAGAUGUGGAGGAACACCAGUGGCGAAGGCGACUCUCUGGUCUGUAACUGACGCUGAGGAGCGAAAGCGUGGGGAGCGAACAGGAUUAGAUACCCUGGUAGUCCACGCCGUAAACGAUGAGUGCUAGUGGUUU
rnacentral:rRNA from 1 species